GCCCGAAUAGCUCAGUGGUAGAGCGAGCGGCUGUUAACCGCUAGGUCGCAGGUCCAAUCCCUGCUUCGGGCG
rnacentral:tRNA from 1 species